rnacentral:rRNA from 1 species
AACGAACGCUGGCGGCAGGCUUAACACAUGCAAGUCGAGCGCCCAGCAAUGGGAGCGGCGGACGGGUGAAUAACGCGUGGGAAUAUGCCCUUUGGUACGGAACAACUCAGGGAAACUUGAGCUAAUACCGUAUGUGCCAGAAAUGGGAAAGAUUUAUCGCCAAAGGAUUAGCCCGCGUCCGAUUAGCUUGUUGGUGAGGUAAUGGCUCACCAAGGCACCGAUCGGUAGCUGGUCUGAGAGGACGACCAGCCACACUGGGACUGAGACACGGCCCAGACUCCUACGGGAGGCAGCAGUGGGGAAUCUUGGACAAUGGAGGCAACUCUGAUCCAGCCAUGCCGCGUGAGUGAUGAAGGCCUUAGGGUUGUAAAACUCUUUCGGCGGGGACGAUAAUGACGGUACCCGCAGAAGAAGCUCCGGCUAACUUCGUGCCAGCCGCCGCCGUAAAAC